GGGGAAUAUUGCACAAUGGGCGCAAGCCUGAUGCAGCCAUGCCGCGUGUGUGAAGAAGGCCUUCGGGUUGUAAAGCACUUUCAGCGAGGAGGAAGGCGUUAAGGUUAAUAACCUUGGCGAUUGACGUUACUCGCAGAAGAAGCACCGGCUAACUCCGUGCCAGCAGCCGCGGUAAUACGGAAGGUGCAAGCGUUAAUCGGAAUUACUGGGCGUAAAGCGCACGCAGGCGGUUUGUUAAGUCAGAUGUGAAAUCCCCGAGCUUAACUUGGGAACUGCAUUUGAAACUGGCAAGCUAGAGUCUUGUAGAGGGGGGUAGAAUUCCAGGUGUAGCGGUGAAAUGCGUAGAGAUCUGGAGGAAUACCGGUGGCGAAGGCGGCCCCCUGGACAAAGACUGACGCUCAGGUGCGAAAGCGUGGGGCAGCAAACAGGAUUAGAUACCCUGGUAGUCCAGCGCUGUAAACGAUGUCGAUUUGGAGGUUGUGGGCUUGACCCGUGGCUUCCGGAGCUAACGCGUUAAAUCGACCGCCUGGGGAGUACGGCCGCAAGGUUAAAACUCUAAAGGAAUUG
rnacentral:rRNA from 1 species